rnacentral:lncRNA from 1 species
CUAUCUGUUAAAGUACAAAUAAAGUGAGCCGUAGAAAAUUGUAUUAAAAAAAUGAUAAACUUACAACUAUCCAAGCUAACAGCCUGAACAAUUUAAUACAAAGUAGACAAAAAGUUGACAUUUUAAUCAUCAUAAAUUUUUUUACUGUAGUGAAAAAAAUACAACAGGCAAAUAUGGAAUAAUAUAUCAACAGUUGACUUAUAUGUGUGGCUGAAUUAUUUUUCUUGCUUUCAUCCAUUUUGAUAAAGCUUGUCAUUUUUUUAUAUGGUACUUCCAGAAAUCGAGCUAUUCAAAUAAGAGUUUUUGUGACUUGUUCUGUAUAACCUAAACUUCAAGUUUAAAAUAUCAAUAUUGAAAUGUAACCUAAACUGUCAUGCACAAGAUCACAACAUCAAGAAGAAGAUUGUCUGAUUUGCUUGAAUAUCCAU